UAAGAAUUCAUCAAAUAAUGUAAUAAAUUAAGCACCUAUUAAAUAUAAGAAGAAAGUAAUCAUUAUGCUGUAAUCAUUCUGUAGUCAAAAUGCCAAAAAACAAUCAAAAGAUAGUAUCUGUUCUUAUCAGGUAAAAAUCUGUACGAGAACCCUCUUCGGUAUCAUUAUUUAUGUUUUAGAAUAAAUCGCAUAGUGAUGAAAAUCGUGUGUAUUUUGGGUAUGUUAAAAAAACAAAAAUAGACAUGGCAACCCUGACAAUUUGGAGAAUGUUUUGGAGGAGACCAGCUUGGCUGUCAUGCCUUUCAUUAGAUCUGUUACAAGUAGCUAUGACUAGAGGGGAGAAGGAAGUACAAGAAUUACUCCGAUGUCGAUCAUUAAUUCUACCUCUGAGUCCAACAAGAGCUGAGUAUUACCAACUCCAAAAAACUGGCCAACUAAAAAAUACAAACAAUUUAUUUCAAUAAAUGUGCAACACUUUCAUCGUCUCAAUCAUGAUUCAUGCCGUUCAUGCAACUGAACUCAAGGCUGAGAUUUUUCUUUGGAGGGGGAAGGCAUUACCUGAGAAAAAAAUAUCAAAAAAGUUUAGGAAUCAAAAUAAACUAUAUUUUUUGCUAAGGACUUUAGCAAAAAUCAAUGAUGGAAGGAAGUUUACGGCCCAACUCCAGAUCUCCGCGGACUGUAUCAGAUUCACAAGAUCGUGUAAAGUCUGUGGCAAAAUCUUCAAUUCGACAGUCUAUACGUUUGUGGAAUGCCAAGCGGUCAACAUUUUAUAAGACCUCUCAAAAUUCACGUUGAGUGCUUGGAUAAUACCUUUUUAGACUGGGAGAACGCAGGACUACCUCAGAUGCUAAAGCAAUAUUUUAUUUUAUUUUUUAUGUGCCUUUAAUUGGUUAGACUGAUUAAGUAUAAGUAAACUUUAUAGUAUUACAAUUACUCCAUCUAACCUAGGAGUCUUAUUGGUGAAAUCCAUAUA
rnacentral:lncRNA from 1 species